rnacentral:lncRNA from 1 species
GAGGCUUCUUAGCAGCCAAUGGGGGAGGCGAGCUCGACGACUUUAGCCAAUGGGAGAAGGAGGGAGAGUGCUUGCAUCGCCGGGCCUCGCGAAUCCUUUUGUGGCGCGUGACCCAGCCUUGUUCGCGUAAUGUGACUUGACCCAUUCUUCGACCCGUAGUGGGGACGGAGGCCUCCCGCCCUUAGGGCUCCAUGAAGCGUUUGAAGAGAAAGGCUGUUAUCUCAGAGUGACGCUGGUGAGGCGGCCCGUGCGCAAGCGAGAAGCCUGCGGCCUCCCCUGUCAUUAUGAAAGUGACUUGUGCGGGUUUUACGACUUCACCAGUUCGCUGUAAAAUGGUCGCGCGGUGUACACUUGGCAUCUGCACUCCAGCCCCGUCUCUGUUGGGCCUUGGGAGGAGCCGGGACCGUCCAUUAGUUGAGUUUCGGUUUCUGCCGCCGGGUAUCCACGCGGGAGGGCAGGCAGCCGCGGCGGCUCCCUGCCGCCCGCCGGGCGCCCGCAGCCUCCCUGUCCUCCCUGUGCUGACGACAUCUGCCCUCAGCCCUGAGUGCAGACGCUGCGGGCACCGCCCGGUCGGCCUGUCCAUGAGCUCCGAUAGACAUCGCAAGCCCGCAGCCCAGGCCACGCUCCCGCCCGCCUCGGGUCCGGUGGCAGGGUCUUUGCUUCUGUCACCUUGGCCUUGGGGUCAUUCUCGACUCCUCCUCCUUCCCUUUGCCUCCCACUUCCAAACCGCCCCACUUCGCUCUUGGAGGCUCAGGGUCCCGUCUUUGGCCUGCGCAUCUGCACAGGCCUCUAACGGGUCCCCCCUCAGCGGGAGGCUGCCUGUCCCCACAGCGGUCCUCGCCUUGGGGUCAGGGCAGGGAUCCUGGUGUGGGACCCAGGGCUGCUCUACCGCUAAACCACGUCCCCAACCCUUUGGUUCUUUUAUUUUGAGACUGGGUCUUGCCCCGUUGCACAGGCUGGCCUUGAACUUGUGAUCCUCCUGUCCCAGCCUCCCAGUGUGCUGGGAUUACAGGUGCUGUCCCGCCUUCGAAACUUUAUUGUCUGUUCCCUGCACUGGAAUGUAAGCUUCUAGUCGGGGCCUCUUCUGUUUUUCACUCAUGUGGCCCCUCCACCCCUCACACACACCAGAACCAAACCAGUGGCACAUAGUAAAAGCUCAAUAAAACUGUUGAGUGAAAGCUUCGGAAGUUAGU